rnacentral:rRNA from 1 species
GAUGAACGCUGGCGGCGUGCCUAAUACAUGCAAGUCGAGCGAAUGGAUUAAGAGCUUGCUCUUAUGAAGUUAGCGGCGGACGGGUGAGUAACACGUGGGUAACCUGCCCAUAAGACUGGGAUAACUCCGGGAAACCGGGGCUAAUACCGGAUAACAUUUUGAACCGCAUGGUUCGAAAUUGAAAGGCGGCUUCGGCUGUCACUUAUGGAUGGACCCGCGUCGCAUUAGCUAGUUGGUGAGGUAACGGCUCACCAAGGCAACGAUGCGUAGCCGACCUGAGAGGGUGCGCGGCCACACUGGGACUGAGACACGGCCCAGACUCCUACGGGAGGCAGAAGUAGGGAAUCUUCCACAAUGGACGAAAGUCUGACGGGGCAACGCCGCGUGAGUGACGAAGGCUUUCGGGUCGUAAAACUCUGUUGUUAGGGAAGAACAAGUGCUAGUUGAAUAAGCUGACACCUUGACGGUACCUAACCAGAAAGCCACGGCUAACUACGUGCCAGCAGCCGCGGUAA